UUCGUGAAUGAUCAAGAGAAUUCUGGCUGAAAGAUGGAGGAAAUUUGGCAAAUCUGAUGUCCUUUAAAAGCAACUACCGUACAAGGCACACAUGCAAAUACAGAAAUGAAAAGAUGAAUCUCCAUAUUCUCACACUGUACAAGCAACAUUAGUUAAUUCAACAUGACAAGCUAUAUGAAGUAUCUGGCACUUCCUUGGGCUUUGGAGUCUACCAUGGUAGUUCUCCAUUCUCUUUCCUCCUGGUAUCUCAUGGCUGGAAACACUGCUUUGCCUGGAUCCAGUACUAAUGUUGACCUUUUCAGGAUUUGCU